AUGGGGAGGAACUCAGUUCUUGGUGAAGCUGCUGAUCUGGUGAUCCAGGGGAUUAUCAAGCUGGCUUUCAGUGCAGUCAACGUUAAUCUUCUUGCUCUGCUCCGACCCCUGCUUCUGGAGUUGCAGAUCAAAUCAUUACGCUGUAUCCUCUCUCAGAGUUCUUGGAGCCAAAAUUUUGCAGCAUAUGGUUGGAGAGCUCGGUGCAGAGAGCACCAUGAGAUUCUCGCCAUUGCGCCGCUGCAUCUUCUGGUCGAAGGGCGACCACUCGGAGUUCCGGCGACGGCCUCCGGCUCUUGUAAUUCCUCCUGGCCGCCGAGCCAUAUGGGAGGCAGUUUAUCUAGUUCUUCGGCUUCGUAUUCACACGUUCUACCUCCGGUUCACUGGUGGUGCUAUAACCAUUCCUCCACCCCAAGUGGUUUCGUCCCCGGCGGUGGUGGAAUCGUGCCAGGAUCGAAGACGGCGAAGAGGACUCGAUUGCUUUUCAUUUUUGUUGUCUGGGGUCCAAUCUGCCAAAUAUCCAGCCUGGGUUGUAAUUUUAUCUUUUUGUUGGGUCUUUAUGUAAUAUGUUGCAUGCUUAUCUAA
rnacentral:rRNA from 1 species